rnacentral:rRNA from 1 species
UACGUAGGGGUGCAAGCGUUAAUCGGAAUUACUGGGCGUAAAGCGUGCGCAGGCGGUUUUGUAAGUCUGUCGUGAAAUCCCCGGGCUCAACCUGGGAAUUGCGAUGGAGACUGCAAGGCUAGAAUCUGGCAGAGGGGGGUAGAAUUCCACGUGUAGCAGUGAAAUGCGUAGAGAUGUGGAGGAACACCGAUGGCGAAGGCAGCCCCCUGGGUCAAGAUUGACGCUCAUGCACGAAAGGCGUGGGGAGCAAACAGG